CUUGAUUUGAUAAUAUGCUGUUAGUCAACCCAAAAUAUUCUUCUCUAUUUGCAGAUACAACCCUCACAUCAAGUGAAGUAUCUCUUUCACAACGUAUGCUAUCGGCCUUCACAGUCCCUGGUGAGUAACUUUCUUAGAAUUCCCAGUGUGGCAGGAAUUAAAAUACCCACAAUAAACAUUUCCUGCUUUCCCAGGAGAGAAGGAGCGAUAAGGGGAAAUCAGACAACUCUCUAGAGGAUUCCAGGCCCUCUCCAUCCCUGGGCAUAAAAUGAACACAGUGAGGGUAGGUGCUGGGGGCAGAAAGAUCAGGAUAAAAGGACCUCAAAUGCAGAACCUAAAGGAGCCUGUAGAGAUUAUCUAGAACAGUUUCAAAAGUUAGCCUGCGUGUGAGCAUCCUGGAGAAUGUGCUGGAUGCAGAUUCAGUGGCUCUGGGAAAAGCUUGAACAUAUCUAUCUGGCUCCUGUCUGAUGCCAAUGCUGCUGGUCAUGGACUCCCUAGAGGAGUAAAAAAAUUGAACAACCAGGAAUGGAGGGGUUGAAAGGAGGGCAGGGGAAUAGGGAAAAAAUAAGAACCAAGAUGUAUCAUGUAUAGGUAUACAUUCGCAAUGAUGAAUGUCAUCCUAUUGUAUACCUAAAAUGUACCAAUAAACUUAAUGAAUAAAAACAAUUGAACAACCAUACUAAUUCUGGAGGAAAAUGAGUCCCAGAGAAGUAAGACAUUUACCUAAGUUCACACAACUAGGAAAGGCAAAGCCACAUCUUCCAACUCCCAACUCACGUUCAAGGUCCUUUCAGAUUCCAGGCUUCGCUAAUGAAUCAAUUGGUGUGAUUCCUCCAAGUCCCUGUGAUAUUGAUGUCUAUGAGGAAAAAAUGAAGAAAGAAACAAAGCCAGUGUCCCAGUUUCAAUGAAAGUGACACCAUCACCUGGUAAUGAUCAAGACUAUUGCUACAUCA
rnacentral:lncRNA from 1 species